ensembl:lncRNA
AAGAACCAUAACACCUAGGAUAAUAGUAAACACAUUGGAUGAAAGAGGACAGCCAUGGCUACGUUUUGAGGGUAAAAUCAUACCUGUAGAGCAAACGCUGCGGACACAGCAGCAGUUUUAAAAAAGAUUUUAAGAUUAUUUUUUUUGCUCCUCUCACUCUAGCAGUUGAGCUGCCUCACUCUAGCCCCAACAUUCCGUCCCAUACACACCCAUUAUAAACUCUGAAACGGGUGAAAAAACAUCAUGAAACUUAAACUGGAACUGAAGAAAAAGUAUAAUAGAUAUUGAAAAGAUAAAUACAAGUUGAAUAGUUGAAUGUCUUGUCUUCGUUUUAAAGUUUGAAUGGUGGCUCUAUGUCAAUGUAUGUGGAAGUAGAUACAGUUUAAAGAGGAGGAAUUUGAAUGAGAAUUUGAAGGGUCUCUCCAUUGAAAUACAUUAUAAAUUUUUGUUAAAUAAAGUUGAAUAAAAUUAAAAAUAUAAAUGUUAGAAAUGAGAAAAAUAGAAGCAGUCAUGUCCAAAAGAAUAGGAAUCUAACGGUGUUUGAAUGGUUUUUCUAAGUUGAACGGUUUUGAAGGAGAUAGAUUACAAAAAACGUACGGAAUACAGAAUAAUAAAUAAAAUAGAACUAGAAAGUGCAUUUUCUGAAGAAACUGCAGUGUGAAUGCUUGAAUCUGAAUGUAUGCACUGAAAUGAAUUAAUUGCUGAAUUUUGAGUUAAAAAUAUUGAAUGAGAUUAAAAAAAAACAAAAAAAAAAACCGAAUUUAACCUGAAAACAAAGGUGCUGAACUGCUAAAAGCUGAAGGUUACACAGAAGAAGGAGUUGGAAAAAAACUGAAAAUGUUUUAAAUGUAAAUUAGAAAACCCUAAGAAAUGAGAAAAGAACAUUUAGAGUCAGAAAACAUCUGAAUGAAUAUUAAAAGUUCAUAUUCUUUGAAUCACUGAAUGACUAAAAUGUGAUCCCUCCGCUUGGAUCCACACAGUUUAAAAAAUGUAAAAGUCUGAGCUUUGAAAGACAAUGUUGGAAAGAGAACAACGAUGGCUACAUUUUGAGGGUAAAAUGAUGGCUGUAACACUGUGGACACAGCAGCAGUUGAAAGAGAAGUGUUUAAGAUGAAUCUUGGCAGAGUGAGAGAGAGCUCGUUAAGCAGGCAGGUGUGAGCCUGGUUGCUAUAGUGACCGCACCCAAUGGCUCCAUACACACGCACACAGACAUGCACCUCACUUUUGCUGCUUAAAAUGAACAGAAAAGUCAGGCCGAAACAAAUCGUUCCCAAAUGAAAAGUACAUGUCGUACUGACAAAAUUCUUUCACCGUGAGCGACAGCCAUGUCUAGUCUACCUAAUUCUCAGUUUUCAUGCCUGUGGAGCUUAUUAUAUGGACGUGGUGACAGUGUAAAGACACCAUGCUCUUCUGAUUUUCAAACGAACCUUCUGAGCCAUUUUAACAUUAGAGUCUAUGGAAGAGUUGGAGGGAGGAGGCUGUGCAUUGGUGACAUUUAUGAAAGAACCAUAACACCUAGGAUAAUAGUAAACACAUUGGAUGAAAGAGGACAGCCAUGGCUACGUUUUGA